AAGAGUGUGACAGGGAGCUGCAGGCUGUCCCUGCUGGGUACAGACUGGCACAGGCGAAGAAGGGCCGUGACAGAGCUAACAAGAUGGGGCUCCGGGCAGAGAGAGGCGAUGGUGGCUCCCUGUGCCUCAAGGAACGCCAAGCUUUCCAUGGAUCCAUCUGCUUGUGGUUAGAAUAUGGCUGUCAACAGGCUUCUUCAUCAGCACCCAAGAAGUGAGUGAGGGGAACCUUCUGGAAGCUUCCAGAAGACUCAUCAAACUUCCCUUCACACCCAAUUGGUUUCGAUAGCUAUGGGUCCUUCCUGGACCCUCAGCUGUGGCCAGGGGUUAGGUUAUACUUGUUAACUUAGCCGGAGUCAUCGGUGCUGUUCUGAAAUCACAUUCCUCUAAAGCAUGUGGAUGGCACUGAGGACCUGUGGUUUAGUAGAAUGAAAUUCGAAGUAGUUGCCAAGAAAAGGGAAAUGUUUGCAAAGGAGUGACUCAGUGCAAGCAUUGAAAAUCACCCUCAAAUAAAGGGCAAGAAUUUAUUACACAAAUGCAGACUGGUUUCAUGGAACCCAAGGACGGAGCUGCAGGGUGCAGGGGCCGGGCCGGAAUCAAGAACCAGAGAAGCAUCAGAAGCCAAGACCCUCAUCCUCUUCCCUCCC
rnacentral:lncRNA from 1 species